UAAGCGCCGUCAAGCAGGGAGUUCCACCGGUUCGUGACAGGUCAGGACUGUUCUCCAGCCCCAGGCCUUUGUGAGGGCCAGCACUGCUAGUCCAUGGAGUUGGGAUCAAGUCCUUCCCCUUAGCAGGGUGGACUGAGGGUUGAGAUGGUCGGCGCCUUUUAGGGCGGGCAAUCCUCUGCUUGUGUGGUGGAUACCUGGAGGCUACACCUUGGUGGGCUCUCGGCCGAGGUAGGUGGACUGCAGAAUGUUGUGGCAUUUGUGCG